GACAAUAAAAACUAGUUAAUUAGUUCGGUUUGUAUUAUUUAAUUUUUAAUAGUUUAGAUUUUAAAUUAUUUGGUGAAAUAUUAAUUUAUGUUUUAACUAGGGUUGAUGAUAAUAUUCGAAAGUUUUGAUUUAAACUAGGAUUAGAUACCCUAUUAUUUUAACUGUAAAGUUAAACCUUAAUAUUAAUAGUUAUGAUCUUUAAAUUUAAAGAAUUUGGCGGUAAUUUAAUCUUUCUAGAGGAACCUGUCCUGUAAUUGAUAAUCCACGUUGAAUUUUACUUUUAUUAAAGCUUGUAUACCUCUGUCAUUGAAUGUUUUUUUAGAAAAAUUUUCUUAAAUCUUUAUGGGUGGAAUGUUAGGUCAAGGUGCAGCGAUAUAUUAGUAGAGAUGGGUUACAUUUAUUAUAUUAUUGGAUUUUUUUAUGGAAAUAAAACUGAAAUUGGAUUUAGAUGUAAUUUAUAUUAGAUUAUAUUUUUGACUGUGGCUCUAGAUUAUGUACACAUCGCCCGUCACUCUUGUUUUAAGAUAAG
rnacentral:rRNA from 1 species